UACGUAGGGUGCAAGCGUUGUCCGGAAUUAUUGGGCGUAAAGAGCUCGUAGGCGGUUUGUUGAGUCGGAUGUGAAAUCCCGAGGCUCAACCUCGGGUCUGCAGUCGAUACGAGCAAACUAGAGUGUUGCAGGGGAGACUGGAAUUCCUGGUGUAGCGGUGAAAUGCGCAGAUAUCAGGAGGAACACCGGUGGCGAAGGCGGGUCUCUGGGCAACAACUGACGCUGAGGAGCUAAAGCGUGGGGAGCGAACAGG
rnacentral:rRNA from 1 species